CGGAGGGUGCAAGCGUUGUCCGGAAUCAUUGGGUGUAAAGGGUGCGUAGGCGGGCGUCUAAGUCUGGGGUGAAAUCUUGCCGCUUAACGGUAAAAUGGCCUUGGAUACUGGGCGUCUUGAGUGUAGAAGAGGUAAGUGGAAUUCGUAGUGUAGCGGUGAAAUGCAUAGAUAUUACGAAGAACAUCAGUGGCGAAGGCGGCUUACUGGUCUACAACUGACGCUGAGGCACGAAAGCGUGGGGAGCGAACAGGAUUAGAUACCCUGGGAGUCCAUGCCGUAAACGAUGAU
rnacentral:rRNA from 11 species